ensembl:miRNA aca-let-7a aca-let-7a
CUGCACUGUGGGAUGAGGUAGUAGGUUGUAUAGUUUUAGGGUCAUACCCACCACUGGGAGAUAACUAUACAGUCUACUGUCUUUCCUAAAGAGGCAGAAAA